CAGUCAAACGAUGAACCUCACUUGUGGGGGGAUUAGUGGCGAACGGGUGAGUAACACGUGAGUAACCUGCCCUUGACUCUGGGAUAAGCCUGGGAAACUGGGUCUAAUACCGGAUAUGACUCCUCAUCGCAUGGUGGGGGGUGGAAAGCUUUUUGUGGUUUUGGAUGGACUCGCGGCCUAUCAGCUUGUUGGUGAGGUAAUGGCUCACCAAGGCGACGACGGGUAGCCGGCCUGAGAGGGUGACCGGCCACACUGGGACUGAGACACGGCCCAGACUCCUACGGGAGGCAGCAGUGGGGAAUAUUGCACAAUGGGCGAAAGCCUGAUGCAGCGACGCCGCGUGAGGGAUGACGGCCUUCGGGUUGUAAACCUCUUUCAGUAGGGAAGAAGCGAAAGUGACGGUACCUGCAGAAGAAGCGCCGGCUAACUACGUGCCAGCAGCCGCGGUAAUACGUAGGGCGCAAGCGUCAUCCGGAAUUAUUGGGCGUAAAGAGCUCGUAGGCGGUUUGUCGCGUCUGCCGUGAAAGUCCGGGGCUCAACUCCGGAUCUGCUGUGGGUACGGGCAGACUAGAGUGAUGUAGGGGAGACUGGAAUUCCUGGUGUAGCGGUGAAAUGCGCAGAUAUCAGGAGGAACACCGAUGGCGAAGGCAUGUCUCUGGGCAUUAACUGACGCUGAGGAGCGAAAGCAUGGGGAGCGAACAGGAUUAGAUACCCUGGUAGUCCAUGCCGUAACGUUGGGCACUAGGUGUGGGGGACAUUCCAAGUUUUCUGCGCCGUAACAACGCAUUAAGUGCCCACCUGGGAAGUUACGGCCGCGAGGCUAAACUCAAUGAAUUGACGGGG
rnacentral:rRNA from 1 species